CCUACGGGUGGCUGCAGUGAGGAAUAUUGGUCAAUGGACGCGACUCUGAACCAGCCAAGUAGCGUGAAUGAUGACUGCCCUACGGGUUGUAAACUUCUUUUAUAAAGGAAUAGAGUGUGGCACGUGUGCCUUUUUGUAUGUACUUUAUGUAUGUGGAUCGGCUAGCUCCGUGCCAGCAGCCGCGGUAAUACGGAGGAUGCGAGCGUUAUCCGGAUUUCUUGGGUGUAAAGGGAGCGUAGAUGGGUUGUUAAGUCAGUUGUGUAAGUUUGCGGCUCAACCGUAAAAUUUCAAUUGAUACGGGCAGACUUGAGUACAGUAGAGGUAGGCGGAAUUCGUGGUGUAGCGGUGAAAUGCUUAGAUAUUACGAAGAACUCCGAUUGCGAAGGCAGACUACUAGACUGCAACUGACAUUGAUGCUCGAAAGUGUGGGGAGCAAACAGGAUUAGAUACCCCAGUAGUC
rnacentral:rRNA from 1 species